rnacentral:ncRNA from 2 species
AACGUGCUCCGGGGUCGGUGCAAUUCCGAACCGGCGGUGACAGCCCGCGACCCGUGAGCGCCCCCCACCGGGGGGCGCGAGCGGCCGAGCCGGUGGAAUUCCGGCGCCGACGGUCAGAGUCCGGAUGGGAGGAGGCACGGG